rnacentral:rRNA from 1 species
CACGUAGGGGGCGAGCGUUGUCCGGAUUUAUUGGGCGUAAAGAGCUCGUAGGCGGUUUCGUAAGUCGGAUGUGAAAACUCCAGGCUCAACUUGGAGACGCCAUUCGAUACUGCGAUGACUUGAGUCCGGUAGGGGAGUGUGGAAUUCCUGGUGUAGCGGUGAAAUGCGCAGAUAUCAGGAAGAACACCCGUGGCGAAGGCGGCUCUCUGGGACGGUACUGACGCUGAGACGCGAAAGCGUGGGGAGCGAACAGG